AGCAUAGAUGUGCAACUCUCUAUACGGCUUACAAAUAAGGCUUGCAAAAGGCUUCAAUACCAUGAAGGGAUAUUUCUGAAAUGCCUUAUUCCGUGCCUACGAAUAAGGCGAGACAAAGGGAACCACACUUUGUUCCUUCUCUUAUCAUCAAGUUUUACUUAUCAAUUUGCAUUUUGAUACUUUCGAACAUCAUGAGUACCGAAUUGCAUAUCCAUGGUACUGCAAUCCAGAUACAUAACCAC
rnacentral:lncRNA from 1 species